ACAGUUUGACCUGUUUAGUGUUCAUUUGUUGUCAACUGAUUGUAAAGAAAAAAUAUGAAAAACGUGAGUUUUCUGUAAAUUUGUGCCAAAUUAAAUUAAAACUGAAGCAGAAAAACGUCUGUGUUUGUGUUUAGUGUAAAGUAGGUGGCCUCAAAGGCGUCCUCCAUCCGCAAAUAACUAACUGAAAAAAGUGAUUCCAAUAAUAAUUUCGAAGAGAUACUACAGAGAAGUGUUACUCACGGGUUACUACCUUCAAACCCCUGUCCGAACAUUUUCCAGUACAAAUAUUUCAAAGAUCAAUAUUACGGAGAAAUAACAAUCCCUUAUGAUGAUGAAAGUAGACAUCUUAAUCUGGAAGUACAGUUUUCUUUGCCUGGCUUUUACAGAAAUUUGAAACUUGAUUUACAAGGUUUGACACCAUUGGAACUACUUGGUUCGACACCAUUUAUAAAUUACAGAGUUGGUUUCCCGACUCCACCCGACAAUUUUAACAAGGAUCUUCCAAUCAUUACCCAAGCUACUUUUAAUGGUCGAAUUAUAUGUACUGGACCCCCGUAUAAAGACACUUCGAGGGGGGUCACAAGUUUACAAGCCAGUCUUUACUACAAUUUGUAACUCUAACAAUAUCACUGAAUGCCAAUCUUGCAUCUGAAUAAAAAACGAUAAUAAAAAUAA